UGUACUCCAAAACUGCCUUCAAUCAGCAGAGAUUUGGCACUGAUGAUGACAUAAUCACCCCUACAUAUGCUGAGCUGCAGAACACUAUCUGAAUCAUUGUGUUGAACUCGGAGAAGAAGGGACUCCCUGUUCCCUCUGGAAGAGUUCUCAACUACUCACUUCAGUUUCCCAUCUCCCAGGGAUGUGGAUUACUGUGUGAAGGCCAAGGUCACGCUUCUGAUGAGUUCCUAUUAUCAGGAAGCAGCUAUAUCAUCCAGGGAAGGAGUUGGGGAGUUGGAGGCAAGUAAAGAAGUAAUUUAAAAAUUAUGUGAAGGAGAACUGGAAGUAAAGGACUGAUAGUGAUAAAUCUGCUGCUAAACCAUGUUUCCAUUGAGGAACAAAUCAUCAUUGCGGACCCCCCUGUUGGGUUGUCAAAUUGAACACAAGUUGUCAAGAACCUGGAAAAUGCAGCUGUCUACAGUGCUCAAGCAUCAGAAACUAACCCAGUCUUAGUUUUUUUUUUUUAAAAAAAAACAAACCAGUCUCCCUCUUUAUAAAAUAUUGCUGUCGAAGUUUUAUGAGGAUAAAUGCCCACCAGGAAGCUGACUCAAGACUGGGCAACACGUAAAAUCAGAAUUAACAAGCCAAUGUCUGAGGACCUUCUAAUAAUCCAUUAAACCAAGAACAACUAAAAACUACUUGCAGAGUAAAUAUGGCAUGCCGCUUAUUCUAGGAGGAAUGCUAACUGGAUCUACAUAUGCUAAUGUUUUGGUGAACAUGAAAGAGGAUCCUGAUGUACUGUGUUCUCAUCCCUAUUGUAUUCAGUCUCUAUGCACCAGUGCUUAUUCACAGAAAUGCUGUUGGAAAACAAAUUAAAAAAACACAACCCACAAAACCAAGACAAAAAACAAACAAACAAACAAAAAGCACUGAAGGUGAUUAAAAACAUUAACUUAAUGGCACAGAGCUCAAUAGAACGAAAAUGUGCCUAAAUUUUAUAUUUAUUAGGAUUCAAGAAGGUGAUCACUUGCAUGCCACAAACAACUAUCAGGCUGCAGUCAAAAGGCCAUGCUGAUAACGCUCCUUUCUUCUCCAAAUGAAGGUCUGCUUAGCACACCUAACCCCCUCCUACAGCUGUUCCCCCUCUUGAAUGACCUGUCACAAUGGGCAUCAACAACACUUUGGGAACAACAGAGUGCAGGAUGAAUACAGUGCAGUGGGAGUUGCGCAGAAGUACUCUAGGGAUCUGUCCCUGUAAUGAAGUCCUGGUCAAAUGAGAUAACAGGUAUUUGUACCUGGUGGAGACCCUUGGAGGAAAAAUAGAAGGCAAACGAGCCAUACAGACAAGCAAAUGACUUCAGUAACAACAAGUUUACAAACGCCACAAUUUUUUAAAAUCAUACACUGUGAAGAAUGUUCAUUAAAACUGGAGACAUAAACUAAACUUCUUUUAAAAAAUUACUUUUGUUAUGCAUUGAACCAACUGCCUUGACUUUAAGACAUCUGAAUACGAGAAACAUUUUCUCCAAGUCUGUGUUAUAUCUGUGACCUUGAAAUUGGAUUCUCAGGCAGCAACAACAGCAGCAACCCAUGUGAAAGAGGAAUAAUAGACAAAUCCCACAAAGAUUUGCUGCUGUAUCUGAGCUCUGAAAACCAGCAUCUCACGUCAUCUAAUGGAGUAGUUGGCACUCUUUAUAGAAUCAGAUCCUUUCGUGGGAAGCCGUGGCCUGCAGACAGAUUCAGCUACUGUCAGAACACAGCUCUCGAGCUCACUGUUUAGUUUCUUUUAGUAAGUGUGGUCUGUGAUAGUCUUUAGGAACAAUAUCCCAACCUGAGUACUUCACAGCUCAUAGAAGCCACUACCUCUUUGGAGCCUGGAACUGUCCAUGGUCUAAUCACUAGUCGAUUCUGUUUUCAACUCCCCUGCUUUACUCGUCCACUACAUAUUUCCUUACAAGUGUAGGGUGUGCCAGUUCUUAAAACUGCUCCAUAUAGCUGAAAUUAGAUCAGUCCUUUACAGACACUUCUCACUAUAUGUUCUUGGU